CCUGAGAAACCCAAAAGAUCGAAUGGGGAGAUUCAUCGUCAGCGUGGCUGGCUUCCGUGCGGUUCGCGAUGGCCGGGACCUCGGUCCUGCGUCACGCGUCCGCCGCGGUAUGUCCGGCCGCGUCGGCGUGCACCUUCUCCCCUAGUAGGACGUCGCGACCCGUUGGGUGUCGGACCGAUGGCCGUUUGGUCGCCUGUCUCGUCGCGUUCACGCGUGUACGUGGCAGACCGAAAUGGUCGAGCGUCCGGCUGCCCGGCGGUAUAGAACGCUAUUGAACGGUAAUGAGCCGCAUUAAGUGCGUUCAGGCUCGUCGGCAGGCUCGUCUCGCCCGGAUUUACGGACCUAGCGCCGUUGCCGGGUGCUUGGCGUGGCUGUUAGUCGGCGAUGUCCUCGGACUGGCUCUAAAAUUCGAAAGGAUUACCGGUCGGCGACGCUACUGCUUUGGGUACUUUC
rnacentral:rRNA from 1 species